UUCGUCUUUGCACAAAAUCAA
rnacentral:piRNA from 1 species